rnacentral:rRNA from 1 species
AGUGAACGCUGGCGGUAGGCCUAACACAUGCAAGUCGAACGGCAGCACAGGAGAGCUUGCUCUCUGGGUGGCGAGUGGCGGACGGGUGAGGAAUACAUCGGAAUCUGCCCAGUCGUGGGGGAUAACGUAGGGAAACUUACGCUAAUACCGCAUACGACCUUCGGGUGAAAGAGGGGGAUCGCAAGACCUCUCGCGAUUGGAUGAGCCGAUGUCGGAUUAGCUAGUUGGCGGGGUAAUGGCCCACCAAGGCGACGAUCCGUAGCUGGUCUGAGAGGAUGAUCAGCCACACUGGAACUGAGACACGGUCCAGACUCCUACGGGAGGCAGCAGUGGGGAAUAUUGGACAAUGGGCACAAGCCUGAUCCAGCCAUACCGCGUGGGUGAAGAAGGCCUUCGGGUUGUGAAGCCCUUUUGUUGGGAAAGAAAUCUUUCAGGCUAAUACCCUGGGAGGAUGACGGUACCCAAAGAAUAAGCACCGGCUAACUUCGUG